AUUGAGCCAGGAGAAUUCCUACUGGAGUAUGUUGGAAGACACAUGGCUGGAUCUGAAGGAGAGACCCUGCUCAAAGACUACUCAGCUGAAGAUGCAGUUUUUUUUAUAUUUCUACUCCUUUCAGGGACAAUCUUACUGUGUUGAUGGCAGUAAAGCUACAGAAAAUCUCGGACGAUACAUAAAUGAUGACCACAUCAAGCCAAACAGCAAAAUUAAAAUAAUAAUGGAUGAAAAGAAAAUGCCACAUUUGUGUGUAUUUGCGUUAACAAAAAUCAAGCCAAUCAUACCAAAGAAAAAAUCAUACCAAAGCCUAUGGACUAGUAUGCAGGAGUGAUCCAGCUCUCAGAUUUCAUAAAAAAUAUCUUAAUUUGUGUUCGGAAGA